rnacentral:rRNA from 1 species
UAGGGAAUUUUCCGCAAUGGGCGAAAGCCUGACGGAGCAAUACUGCGUGAGGGAUGACGGCCUGUGGGUUGUAAACCUCUCUCCUCAAGGAAGAAGUUCUGACGGUACUUGAGGAAUAAGCAUCGGCUAACUCUGUGCCAGCAGCCGCGGUAAUACAGAG